GAAAAAAGGGAAAAAUGAGUUUAGAAGAGUAGAUAGUGGCAUGUUGAGAAAGGGGCUCUCUGGCAGCUAUACUGGAGUUUAAGGUGAUGAAGAUUUUGGUUUAGAGAGAACACUUGCUAAUAUUUUUCUGUCACUAGAGAGGAGAGCUAAAAAUUGUAUGGAUGCCUGCUGGUUAAGCAUGAAGCUAUGCCACAUGCAUUGUCCAAUGUCUAUUCAGUGGCAUAAUGGCCACAUUGAUAAGAUAAUAGAAGGGCCACCUGAAAGUUUUAAAGCCCAAGUAUAAUACAGAAACUUUUUAAGGCAUUCGGACUACAAUAAAAUCGGAAAUAAAACACAGAAGGAAUUAAAUAAAUUCAAGCCUUGUGUUUUUAUGUGUCUGUGGCACAUUUGGAUGCCUUCAUUCAUUUCAAAACUUUCCUUACCGGGUAGAGUCACUAGCAAUGAUAAAUUUAUUCCUAAAAAUGCAGGAAAAUAAUGCAAAGUGACUUGGACUCUAUAUAUCACCAUAUUUGUUGAUUCUAGAAGACA
rnacentral:misc_RNA from 1 species